GAUUCUCGUGCCUAGGCCUCCCGAGUAGCUGGGAUUACAGGCACCUGAGAAUGAAUAGAGCUCCUCUGCUCUCUCGUUAGCCCCAUCCCAAAGGCUGAGCCUCUACUGUUUGGGAACUAUCAAGAGAAGACACAGCUAUCAAGCCAGGAGCCCUCAUCGAGCCUCAUUCUCAGCCACAUCGUAAGGAUUUAGAGGCCCUAAGCACUGACGACGCUGUGGUGCCACAAAAAUAGACAAGCAGGGCAUGUGCGCUGAAGCUGGAAGAGGCUUCUUCCAUAUUUUCAUUGCAAAAUCAGAACUUUGACCCGCUUUGCAGAUAACCCUGCAUUUUACCGAGAUGUCAAAGCAGGAAGUGCUUGGCUGGAACAUCUGCCGACAGCCUCAUCUCUUUCUGCAAGAUCAUGAUGUUCUGCAUGCUCCUGUGGCCUCUUAUUUCACGUUGCUCUCCCUGCAAAUUUUGAAACAACUUUAAAGAUGAAUAAAAAGCAGCUCAGCAAGUGAAUCCCAGAUCCCGGUAAGAGAGUGUCUCCCCCAACUCACAUAGUGAGUGCACAUCAUCCCCAGAACCACCAUGAGAGUGAGCCUGGUAGCGGGUAGCACCCUGCCUGUGACGAAGCCAGCACACUAUGACGAGCAGCAGCUUCUAGACCCAUGGACCACGGGCACUGCCAACGCUCUCCCUCCGGGGACUCCUCCUGCCUCCCAUACAGGGCCAAACUCCGACGCCCACGAGCUCGCUCAGAAUUGGCUCAGGCUGCAAUCACUUCUCUUCUCCUACCUCCACACCAUUCCCUGAUGGUGGACAGCUUCUCCUUUGAGAACCACACCUGCCUUUUCAGACAAAAGGAGACACCACCCACCCUCCUGCUGAGGGCUGCUCCCCUGGGGCCUUCUCAGCACACCUCUCUCUCUCUAGGUCAAAAAACAAAUUUCACAUGCUGAAUUUUUACCUUUUUUAAAGUGACUCCGAAUUUUGGCACCAGCAAUUAAUUCAACACUUGAAUAAGAUUUGAAAACCUCACAACAAAUCACAAAUAUAUUAUGGGUCCU
rnacentral:lncRNA from 1 species